CGGGUCUGGAUCAGGCUACGGUUCAGGAUAUGGAUCCGGUUCUGGUCACGGGUCAGGAAGUGGAGGCUGGAAACGUGGCGGCCGCAGUGGUUGUUCAGGGUGUCGUGCUGCUAAUCGGGAUGGGAAUGCAGGUGGCGGGGGUGGAGAUCCUGGUAGCAGAGACUUUAAGGGAAGUGCAUCAUCCGGGUAUGGAUCAGGCACUGGUGCAGGAAAGAGCGGAGGCUCUGGGAGGGGCUCCGGAUACGGAUCAGGGAGCGGAAGUGGGUACGGAAGCGGGAGUGGUGGUGGCGAAGGAGGUGGGGGAGGAGGAGGAGGUGGAGUCGGUGGAGGAGGGGACGGAGGCUCUGGGUCCAGCGACGGGAGUGGCUCCGGAUACGGAUCAGGGAGCGGGAGUGGGUACGGAAGCGGGAGUGGUGGUGGCAAAGGAGGUGGGGGAGGAGGAGGAGGUGGAGGCGAUGGCAGUGAAGUUGGUCCAGGAUCCGGAUCCGGAUAUGGGAGCGGAAGUGGAUCGGGAUAUGGGUCAGGAAAGGGCGGCGGAGAGGAGGUUUUACCCGGAAGUUGAAGAAAUGACCGAGUAGUUAAUAAAGCAGGCUAGGGUUGAAGAGUGUAAUUAAUAUUAUAGUGAUUUUCAAAAGUGUUUUUAAUUCUUCUUAUAUUAAAAAAUUUUAUUUUUUAAAUAUUAAAAGUGUUAUAAAUAUUUUUUAAUUACUGUCAAACACAUUCUAAUACUAUAUUAAUUUUCACUUACAAUUUAAAUGAAAUAUUUGACAUUAAUACGAUACUAAGAAGAAUUCGAAAUCCCGAUGAGGGGGAGAAAUGAAUAUAAAAAAAAGCUAAAAGAGAAAAUAUAUAGAAAUAUUAGAAAAAUGGGUUAGAGUGGUAUUAAUUAAUUUUCACAUCUACUCAUAAAUGAAUAGUUGAUAACUUUUUAGGUAUUACAUAUAUAAAUUCAUAACUGCUUGUUUCAAUAUAAAUCUAUAUGAAUUUAUAUUAUACCUUUAAAAUUAGUUUUAGAAUUUCUAAAAUUUGAGUUCUUAAAACCUUAAUUUUAAAAAAAUUAUUAUUGUUUUAAAGUAAUUAUCAAAGAGCCCUAUAUUUUAAUGAUUAUACCUUAUUAAUUUGUUCCCUUUAUGCUUAUAUGAUUAUGUUUUUAUUAGUGAUUAUCGUAUUUUAAUGUUAUAUAUAAGAGUGUAAACGUAUUUAUUGAACAUAGAUUUUAUUGUUUUUUUAAAGUUUAUAAAUGUAAAUAAACUUGAAUAUAUAUGCUUAGUUUCAUCACUUUUAAGACAUUCUUCUUUAAUCUACAAGAUAAAAAAUAACUUUAAAUCUUACAAUUAUAAAAAUAAUUAUAAAAAAGUAUUAUUACUAUUAGAAACUAAAUAAUGAAUGUAAUCAUAAGAGAGAAGAUAGCACCAUCCAAACAUCACCCAGUCCAAACAGUUGUCAUUGCCAUUAAUAUGUUGCUAAGAAAUGAAACACUUUAAAUCUUACAAUUACACUAGCCAGUCAACUGAAUCUAAUCCAUUGUUACUUGUAAAGCAUAAGAUUGAAAAUCCCAUUUCCUUCUCUUCCCUGACUUUCUCAGGGACCAAACAGAGACUUAAUGCAAAUUUAUUUAAAUACGGAUUCUACAAAAUUGAUCUUUGCAACGAUGAUCGCUCAGAGAUACAGAUCUGGAGUUCAAAUUCAGACAACGAAGUGUCCAAAAAAGUUCAAACUUGAAGCAGAUGGAUUGAGGCAACAGAGUCACCAGUACCUGAAUUUUUCAAAAUUUUGGUAACUCAGUACCGUUGAGACCGAUCGAACCGAGAUUUGACGGCAGAGAAUCGCAUCCGAAUGCCAAUGUGGCAAGAUCGGAUGGUGUCGGUGGUCUGACAAACAACGGAUCUCCACCAUCGAUUGCUUUCUGCACGUAUUGGCAUGGACAAAAUAAACCGAAAAGCGCAAGGUCGGCCUAUAUGUUGGACCAAACUUGUAUGCAAUAAGCUGAAUAUAGAAUAACUGGGCUUGCUGCAACAGGCUACGCCAUACAUAUUCAAGCAUUUCCAAAGCCCAAAGUGCUGCCCAGCCCAGCGCAGCCCAUCACACUAAAAAGGGUUCAGACCAAAGGAUUAUCCAAAAGGUUGCAAUCCUUUUCAACAAUCCAAUUUAAUUAAUCUCUGAAAACCAACCAAUCAAAUUUCAAAGUAAAUAAUAAAUAUAAAGACCAUCAUGGGUUAGUCAUAUAAUAUAAGAUAGAAUAAAAUACGAGAUAAUAUAUCCUAUCUCAUGUUUGAAUGGUGAUAAUAUAUUUAAAAUUUAUUCUUUUUAUCCAUUUUUUCUUCAAUUUUUUAUAUAAAAAUUAAUUAAAAAAUUAAAUUUAUAAAAAAAAUUAUAAUUUGUGUACAUAUCUUAUAAUUUUAUAGAUUCAGACUCGUAGAUAUCAAUGUUGUUUGAUUUUUCUCUCUUGAAUUAAGUAAUCACCAUUAAUUUUAAAAAGAGAAAAUAAGUAAUAAGUUCUUUUGUUGGCCGAAACCUAAAAUCAACUAAUGGCAAAUUUUUCAUCAAGUUCAUGUCUUUUAUAUAUAUAUAAGAAUUAAAAAAUGGUUAGAUAGCUCUCUUUCUUAUCUUUGAAGCCUUAACUUAGGUAAUCCAUAUAUACUCAAAUAUGUGGAAAGUAAAUAUAUUAAUUAAAAUUAUUUAAAUAUUUGUCUAAAUUAAAAAAGUUUUACUCACAUAUACUCUUUAGAAUCGAUACCUGAAAAAAUUGGUCUCAUUGUUAUCUCUAAUUUAAGUUACACCUAAAUUAAUAAACCUAGUAAAAAAAAUUGUAAUUAUAAGGAUGCUUAAUUACAAUAUAGAUAUUCCAAUCAACAUUCAAGUACGUGCCUUGGUGGAAUACCAAACUCCCUAGGAUUGUUAAGUUUUGUUAUUCUAAAUGUUAGGUUGAUUUGGUUUGUUACCACUCAGUCAAUAAGUCCCUAGUGUUAAGGGAUAGUUGUUUGAUUGAUUUAGUCAUACCAUGUUAUUAGGAUUUGUUAAACAUGGGUUGUUAUUUCUUGUUUCAACCUGUUCUAUAAGGUUAUAUAAUAGUCAAGUUUGUUCUUCAAUAAUUCAGAGUGAUUUCUCCUAAUUUCUUUAUCUUUUCAGAAGUUUUUUUUUUCUGGUUUUUAACAUUUGGUAUCAAAACACCAUUACAGAGCCUGGUUAAAAUUAGAAGCAGCAAUCUUCUACGUGUGUAGUAAUUGAAGUAUGAUGACAGAGAAUUCAUUUGUGCAGCCAGUAGUUCCGAAAUUUGAUGGGCACUAUGAUCAUUGGGCGAUGCUCAUGGAAAACUUUUUACGUUCAAAAGAGUACUAGAGGUUGGUGGGGAAUGAGAUUUCUGUAGCAGUAAAAGGUGUUGUUCUCACAAAUGCCCAGAGAAAGAACAUUGAUGAUCAUAAGUUGAAAUAUAUGAAAGCAAAGAACUAUCUAUUUCAAGCAUUAGAUCAUUCAAUCUUGGAGACAAUCCUUAACAAGAAUACAACGAAGAACGUAUAGGAUUCUUUGAAGCAGAAAUAUCAAGGUACAACACAAGUAAAGCGUGCACACUUGUAAGCUCUCCGAAAGGAGUUUGAAAUUCAUCACAUGAAGGUAGAAGAAUUUGUGAAUGGGUAUUUUGUUCGAACCCUUACCAUAGCUAACAAAAUGAAAGUAAAUGGUGAGAACAAGGAGAUGUUGUUGUAGUUGAAAAGAUUUUGAGAUCCAUGACUCCCAAGUUUGAUUAUGUUGAGUGUUACAUUGAGGAGUAUAAGGAUACAGACACCUAAACCAUUGAUGAGUUGCAAAGCAGCCUACUUGUGAAUGAACAAUGCAUGAGUUCUCAUGUUGAAGAAGAACACACUUUGAAAAUUACUUAUGGGGAUCAAUCUGGAGGAACAGGUCGAGGUCGUGGAAGUUUUAGCGAAAGAGAAAAGGGACGAGGCAGACAAACCUUCAACAAGACCACAGUGGAGUGCUAUAACUGUCACAAGAUAAGGCAUUUUCAAUGGGAAUGUCCAAGCAAGGAAAAGGAGGCCAACUAUGCAGAGACUCAAGAAAAGAUGUUGUUGAUGGCUUACGUGGAUAUGCAUAAGGCCAAUAGAGAAGAUAUGUGGAUCCUUGACUCAGGAUGUAGCAAUCAUAUGUGUGGGAAGGAGGAAUACUUCUCAGAUUUUGAUGGAAGUUUCAGAGAUUCAGUGAAAUUGGGCAACAUCUCAAGCAUGGUCGUAAUAAGAAAGGGUAAUGUACGACUACAAGUGAAUGAAAUAGCACAAAUCAUCACAAGAGUUUUUUAUGUGUCGAAGCUGAAAAACAAUUUGCUAAGUAUUGGGCAACUGCAAGAAUAGGGUCUUACCAUUUUGUUUAAAAGUGGAAAGUGUAAAGUGUUUCAUCCUAAGAGAGGCUUAAUCAUGGAGACGAAGAUGUCUUCAAGUCGAAUUUCAUAUUGCAUGCUAUCUCUCAGCCUAUAACAUCUACUUGUUUCAAUACAGCACUAUAGAUAUGGACCUUGAGCUUUAAGGGCUUAAAGACUCUUCAACAGAAGAAGAUGGUGAAUGGUUUACCACGGCUUAAGUCUCUUUUGAGGCUAUGUAAGGAUUGCUUCGAGGAAAAGCAACAAAGGUACUCGUUUCCCAGGAAGAGCAGUUGGCGAGCUUCACAAAUUCUUCAAUUAGUGCAUGCUGAUAAUUGUGGACCGAUCCAACCCAUCUCUAACAGCAAUAAAAGGUAUUUUAUUAUUUUCACUGAUGACUUCAGUAUAAAAACAUGGGUUUAUUUUUUAACAGAGAAAUCAAAAGCCUUUGUUGUUUUUAAAAGCUUUAAGAUUCAUGUUGAAAAGGAAACAAACUCAUUUAUUAGAGUCUUACAUACUAAUCGGGGAAAAGGGUUUACAUCACAAGAGUUCACCAAUUUUUGCGAUGUAAAGGUAUAUGAAGACAAUUGACAGUUGCAUACAUGCCACAAUAGAACGGAGUUGCGGAACGAAAGAAUAGAACUAUUAUGAAUAUGGUUCUUAGUAUGAUUUCAGAAAAGAAAAUUCAAAAAAACUUUUUGACCUGAAGCAAUCAACUGGACAGUACAUGUCUUGAAUCAAAGUCCAACAAUGGCAAUAAAAAAUAAGACUCCAGAAGAAGCUUGGAGUGGAGUCAAGCCUUUAGUUGAGCAUUUUAGAGUUUUUAGAUGUAUCUUUCAUGUUCAUGUGUUUGACAAUAAAAUAACUAAGCCAAAUUAAAAGAGCUUGAGUUGUGUUCUGUUGGGAGUUAGUGAAGGGUCAAAUGCUUACUAACUCUAUAAUCCAACUUCAGAAAUGAUCAUAAUAAGUAGGGAUGUUGUAUUCGAAAAAGACAAGAGUUAGGAUUGGGAUAAGACCUAUAAAUAAUCCAUUGUGUGCAAUUUGAAAUGGGGUGAUUGUGAAGAAGAAGUAGUUGUGUUUGUUGAAAAUGAAGAGGGGAGCGAAUUUGAUCUUAAAGUUGAUAUAGAAGCAGAAUAGAAGAAUUUUUCCUCUGAUUCUUCAACUGAAGAAAACUCUUUUAGCUCGAAUGAAGGGAAGAAUAGGAGACCACCAGUUUGGAUAAGAGACUAUGCAAUAGGAGAAGGCCUUUUUGAAGAAGAUAAUUGUUAGAAAAAUUAGGCUAAUCCAACCUAUGGUAAUCACCCUAGAAGGGGGGUGAAUAGGGUGAUAGUCUUUUUUUGUAAAUUUAAACUAUGUGAAUGUAAGAGACAAUUAUAUACAAAUAUAUAAUAAGCAAUAUAAAGAAAAUUGCAUAUAAAUUAAAAGAGUAGAAAAGAGAUAAUGCAAACACAAGAGUUUAUAGUGGUUCGGCGCAACCCGGCCUACAUCCACUCUCCUCUAACUUCAAUCCCAAGCUUGAGGUUCCACUAAUUUAAGGCUUCCAAAUCAAGCCUUCAAGCAAUACAAUUGGAUUAUGGUUCCAAUUCACCCUCUUGGACUUUUGGCUCCAAGCACCCUUUACACUUCUCAAGAGAUAUCCCACUCUUAAACAACCCACUCUCAAAGAUUUACAAAUAAAUGAUCUCACAAAAUCCUAGCACAAGAACUUUAAGCUCAAAUGAUACAAGAAAACUAGGAUUGAAAUGUGCACUAAGGAUAUGCAAGUUUUAGAACAAUGGUGCACUCAAAAACACUCUUCCAAGGCUCAAAUAUAAUCAAGAAAGGUUUGGGAAGGUUAAGCUUUUUAAACAAUGAAGAUUAGAGCAUUUUUAUAGAAGAGAAAAGCCAAACUAGUCGUUUGGGGGUUCGACCGAUCGAGCUAGGGUUCGACCGAUCGAGCUAGGGGUCGAUCGGUUGACUAGCCGUUAGCAUUAAAUGCUUGGCAGGUGAUCAUUGAGUCUCAACCGGACCUCAACCGAGAAGGGAAGGCCACUAGGAGAGAGAGAAAAUUUUUGGCCUCCCUCGACCGGCACUCAAUCGGACGAGCACAACCGGUCGAUCGGUUCCUCAACCGAUUGAGCCAAUUUUUGUCUCAACACCCAACUUUUUCAACUUAAAACCUUUUAAAACAAGUUUGAAAAAUAUUUAACACAAGAUUUUAGUUGAAAACAUGAAAUCAUCCAAUUCUAAAGAUAUUUAAAACAAAAUAACUCUUGGAUGAUUUUGGUGCAUAAGUAAAUAAUGUAAUGCAUGAAAAUCCUAGUGCACCAACAACCUUACAAAGAGAUCUUAUGAAGCUUGGGUCUUGAAAAACACUUCUCUUUGAGGUGGUCUUCUUCUCCAUGAUUUCUCCUUGGCUUGAUUUGUCUUUGUGAUUGCCACUUUGGAAAUUGUCUUGCCUAAACACACUUGAAAUAUAAUCAUUAGUUCUAAACCUUAUUUUGUUAUCAUCCAAAUCAAGAUUAACCAAACCUUGGUUUCACAAUAAUGAAGCUCAUUUAGCCAUGUUUGCAGCUACUGAUCUUAUUCACUUUGAAGAUGCUGUAAAAAGUGAAAAAUGGAGGAGAGCCAUGGUUUUGGAACUGGAAGCAAUAAACAAAAAUAACACGUGGGAAUUGACGAAGUUACCUGAGAGAUGAAAAAAUGUUGGAGUGAAAUGGAUUUAUAAGACUAAAUUUAAUGAAAAAAAAGAAAUGGACAAAUGCAAGGCUAGACUAUACUAAAGUAUUUGCACUUGUGGUACGCAUGAGACAAUUCGUUUGGUGGUAGCACUUGCAGCUCAAAGAAAAUGGACCAUCUACCAGUUAGACGUGAAGUCUGCAUUUUUACAUGGUAAGUUGAAUGAAGAGGUCUUUGUGGAGCAGUCUUGUGGUUAUGUGCAAAAGGGACAUGAACAGAAGGUUAACAAGUUAAAGAAGGCACUCUAUGGGCUUAAGCAAGCCCCACGUGCUUGGUACAACCAUAUAGAAGCUUAUUUCAUGAAGGAAGGUUUUGAGAAGUGUGACUAUGAGCAUACUUUGUUCAUCAAGACAAGAAAAGAAGUCAAAGUAUUAAUUGUAAGUAUUUACGUUAAUGAUCUCAUUUUUACUGGAAAUGAUGCAUUGAAGUUUACAGAGUUUAAAAAUUCCAUGAGGAUGAGUUUGACAUGAUAGAUCUUGGUAAGAUGAGGUAUUUCCUUGGUCUUGAAGUCUUGCAAAGAUCUGAUGGUGUUUUUAUCAGUCAAAAGAAGUAUGCAUUGGAGGUACUGAAAUGGUUUAGAAUGGACAAAAGUAAUUUUGUUCAAAAUCCAAUUGUCCCUAGCUUUAAGCUCAUGAGUGAUGAAAGUGGCGUUAAGGUGGACAAGACUUACUACAAACAAGUUGUGGGUAGUCUCAUGUAUCUCAGAGCUACUCGGCCAGACAUGAUGUUUGUGGUAAGUCUUAUUAGUAUGUAUAUGGAGAAUCCUACUAAGCUUCAUUUACAAGUAGCAAAAAGGGUACUAAGUUUACAAGCAGCAAAAAGGUUACUGAGAUAUUUGAAGGGAACAACUAGAUUUGGAAUUUUCUAUAGGAAUGGAGGAGAUGAUGAACUCGUUACUUACACUGACAGUGAUCAUGCUGGAGAUUUGGAUGACAGAAAGAGUACUUCAGGUUAUGUGUUUUUAUUGAGUUUAGAAGUAGUAUAAUGGUCAUAAAAAAAUAACCAAUAGUAAGUUUAUAUUCCACAGAGGCAAAAUUUAUUAUUGCAGCUUCGUGUGCAUGUCAUGCAAUAUGGUUAAAAAGAGUGUUGGGAAAGUUGGGUCAGAAUCAAGGCAAGCCAACUAUUAUUCGUUGUGAUAGUAGCUCUGCAAUUAAACUUUCGAAGAACCCAGUAAUGCAUGGUCGUAGUAAGCACAUAGAUGUGCGUUUCCAUUUCCUUCGAGAUCUCACAAAGGUGGAUUUUUUAAUAAGAGUACUCCAGUUUUUAAAAAUAAUGCUUAAAUUAUCGCGGUAAAAAAAAUAAUUCCAAAUCUAUGUAAUUUUGUCCAGCGAUGAGAGAGAAGAAAUUUGUAAGUGAGAAAUCGUCUCUUCAACAGAUGAUUUUCACCAAAAAAAAAAAAAAAAGUGGGAAAUCGUCUCUUUACAAAAGUCACCUAAAAUUUAUAAAAAAAAAAAAACCAUGUGGAAAAUCGUCUCUUAAAGAGACGAUUUCCACACCAAAAAAUCACUUUAAAAUUUGAAAAGAAAUAUAUAAAAUAAAUAAAUAAAAAACCAUGUGGGAAAAUCGUCUCUCACAAAAGUCACCCUCCCCUCAACAAAACCAAAAACAAAACCUUUAAAAAUCCUUUUUUUAUUCUUUAUUCUAUUUAUAAAAUAAUUCAAUUAUUAUAAAUAUAUAUUAUAAAAUUAAUUAAUUUUAUUUAUUAAAUUUAAUUUAUAAAUAAUAUACUAAAUUUAAUAUAAGAUAAAUAAUAUUUAUAUAUUGUUUUUUUCUUUCACUUUGGAAUUUAAAAAAAAAAACUAUUAUCAAUUUUAUGUGAAAAUUGAGUUUAAAAAAAUUGUUAUUAAUUUAUUAAAUAAAAAAUAAAUAAAUAACAAAAAUGUCAAAAACGAUUUUAAAAAAAAAAACAACUUUAAAAAUCCAUUUUUCUAUUCCAUAUUAUACUUAUACAAUAAUACAAUUAUUAAAAAUAUAUAUUAUAAAAUUAAUUAAUUUUAUUUAUUAAAUUUAAUUUAUAAAUAGCAUACUAAAUUUAAUAUAAGAUGAAUAUUAUUUAUAUUAUAUUAAAUUAAAUAAAAUUAAUUAAUUUUAUAAUAUAUAAUUUUAAUAAUUGUAUUAUUGUAUAAGUAUAAUAUGGAAUAAAAAAAUAGAUUUUUAAAGUUUUUUUGUUUUUUGAAAAUCACGUUUUUGUUUUUUUAUUUUUUAUUUAAUAAGUUAAUAACAAUUUUUUUAAGCUCAAUUUUCACAUAAAAUUAAUAAUAGUUUUUUUUUUAAUUCCAAAGUGAAAGAAAAAAAAAAUAAUAUAUAAAUAUUAUCUAUCUUAUAUUAAAUUUAGUAUAUUAUUUAUAAAUUAAAUUUAGUAAAUAAAAUUAAUUAAUUUUAUAAUAUAUGUUUAUAAUAAUCGAAUUAUUGUAUAAAUAGAAUAAAGAAUGAAAAAAAAAUUUAAAGGUUUUGUUCUUUUUCUUUAAAGUGAGAAUUUCUCACUUUUGGCUUUGUUGGGAGAAGGGGGGGGGGUGGUUUGUGGGAAAUCGUCUCUUUGGGGUUUUUUUUUCUCUCUCUUUUUUUUUUUUUAAUUAGAUGGUUUCCCACUUAGAUUUUAUUUUUAUUUUUUUGUGGAAAUAGUCUCUUACGUGUUUUUUUUUUUUUUUAAUUUUAAAGUGAGAAUUUCUCACUAUUGGUGACUUUUGUGAGAAAUCGUCUCAUGAUUUCCACAUGGUUUUUUUAUUAUUAUUUUUAAAGUGAGAAUUUAUUUUUUUUUUUUUUUUUUUUUUGUGAAAAUCGCCUUUUCAAGAGAUUUUUCACUUUUUUUUGUUUGGUGAAAAUCAUCUGUUGAAGAGAUGAUUUCUCACUUACAAAUUUCUUAUCUCUCCUCGCUGGAUAAAAUUACGUAGAUUUGGAAUUAUUUUUUUUACCACAAUAAUUUAGACAUUAUUUUUAAACACUGUCAUACUCUUAUCAAAAAUCCCACAAAGGUUGGUACCGUGGAGUUGGUGCAUUGUGGCACACGAGAAUAGUUGGUUGAUGUGAUGACUAAACCACUCAAACUGGAUUUUUUUAAGCUACGAGGGCUAUUGGGAGUUUGUUCUGAGAUGGAUAUAAACUGAGUGCUUAUAGCAUUCAGUUUAAGGGAGGAAUUAUUAAGUUUUGUUAUUCUAGAUGUUAGGUUGUUUUGGUUUGUUUCCACUCAGUCAAAAAGUCCUUAUUGUUAAGGGAUGGUUGUUUGAUUGAUUUAGUCAUACCAUGUUAUUAGGAUUUGCUAGACGUGGGUUGUUAUUUCUAUAAAAUUUCUUAUUCUAUCGUGUAAGAGACACUAUUAGUUAAAGGAAGUUUUUUUUUUAUGGUAGUUGGCGGUCAACCAUGGUGAGAAGAUGGGUUUAAGAUUAAUACAAAUCUACAAAGCAAGUCAUAAUUAGAUCUCAUGUCCCACUUGAAUCCAUUCCACUAUAUAAUAUCAAGUCAAAAAUGCAAAUUUGGAUAGUUUAUUAUUAAAUUAUAUAUAUAUAUAUAUAUAUAUUACAUGAUUUUUCUUUCAUCUCUCAUAAAUUUUUUAGCUAAACAUAUUUAAUCUCUAUUAGUUUAAAAUUUCAUCAAAUACCUUUUUUAUUUGAAGUGAAAAUAACAAAUAAAAAUAUUAUAGGAGGUAUUUAAUGAAAUUGAAACUUAGUGAGGACUAAGCAUAUUUAGCCAAAACCUAAAAAAUGUGAAGAACCUUUCAUUGUUAAUGUAUUUUAUAAUAAAAUUUCUUUAAGAUCUGGUUUCAUAUGUUAAAAAUCUCUUUCAAAAUGUUACACCAACUUAAUAGUACUUUCACUUAAAUAAUAAUAAAAUAAAAUAAACGAUUUCACUAUUGUAAUGACUUGCAUUCAAUUGUAUAGAUAUCAUUUGUUCUAAUCCUAAAGAGCCCUCACAAUUUUAGAAUGCAUCUAAGUGGAUCCAAUCCCAAAUAACCUUCAUAAUUUUAAAAUGCAUCUAUAUUAUUUGUAAUAAAACAUGUAAAUAUUAUGUAAUAGAACAUGUAAAUAUGUAUGUAUAUAUAUAUAUAUAUAUGUUUCAAGAUAGAAUCAAACAAACUUCUACAUGAGAUCAAGCAUUGGCUCAAUACUAUUUAUAUGGAUCUACUCUCCAUUGUGUAAAUAUAUAGUAUCAAUAACUUUUUCUCAUAUUCUGUGUGAUAUCAAAGUAGAGGUCAAGAUCUUAGGAGGUUGUUAAUUAGAUGAUAUAUAUAUAUAUAUAUAUAUAUAUAUAUAUAUAUAUACACCAAAAUUUGAAUAAUAUAUGAGACAAAAUUUCAAGAUAACAACAAAAAAAAAAGGUAAAAAUAAAUUUAUAUAUUUUAAUAAAAAAAAAUAAAAAUUUAUAUGAUAUAUUUAUAAUUUGAUAUUUAAAAAUUUUUAAAAAUAAAAUAAAUAUUAUUAUAUAAGAUAAUAUCAAUUAUAAAUGUUAUAAAAAUAUUAAAUUGGGUUUAAGUUAGAUUGAGGUUAUUUGAACCUUAAUCCAACUUCAAAAUUUAUAUCCAAAAAAAUUGAUCCAAACCUAAUAUAAAUUUAAAAAAUAUAUAUAUAUACCCAAAACCAUCUAAAAUUGGAUUGAGUUAAGGUGACGCACAAAUUACACUUAGUUAUUACUAGGAUGAAUAUUGCUAGACUUACGACAUAGACUCAAAUAUUUAUCCCCUCCCCUUCUUCAAGACCUUGAUAUUACUUUCAAAAGAAAAGAAAAAGCCCACUACUCAUGAAGAUGUUAGUAGGGUCUGGUAAUGAGAUGAUAAUUAAGAAAAACUCCACAAACCGAACUGCACAACUUGGCCAUCAUACAAACAUCUAAUUGAAUAAAGCCUUCCACAAUCCUAAUUUAGUUAAACAAAGUAAUUAACAUAGUCAAUCUCUCAAUCAAUGCUUCCCAUUCAUGUACUCAAAUUCCAACAUUCAUUGGAUGGACAACAAACAUGGGACGCCACUAUAAGACUUUCUCAAUGAUGAUAAAUAUGAUCUCACUAAACCAUAUAUAUAGUUAGUUAGUUAGUGGUAAGUAAUAUAAUGCAUGCACACAAAUAUACAUAACCAUUAUUAUGAAAAUGGUAAUUUACGUUAUUAUUAUAAUAGUAAAUUCUCUUAAUAUGCUCUCUAAAAUGGGUCUAUUUUUUUCUAUAUCAAAAUUAAAAGAAAUUUGCAUAUUUUCUUCAAUGUAAAAAUAUAGACUUGAUUAUUUUCUCUCCAUCAAUAAUUAACUUGUUUCAUACGGUAGAAAUGUGAUUUUCGGGACAAGAAAUGGUGCAACAAAUUGAUAUUACCGAAAAAAAAGCCACUACAACAAGAUCUUAAGAGAGUUUUGGAUGAUAUAUAAUUAACGAAAACCCCCACCCAAAACCAACAGUAGAUGUGCACAAUGUGGCAAUCAAAUAAGCUUCUGAAUUAAGUUAUAAUACCUUCCACAAUCCCAAUUUAAUUAACAAAUCACUUAACCUAGGUGGUGUUUGUUUUUUUACUUAAUUCUAAAUAGAACCUUAAUGUUUAAUAAUGUUAAAUAUUAAGUUGUUUGUUUUUAUAAUAUUUUAUUUCUAUUAAGUAUUAAAAAAUAAAAAAAAAUCAAUAUGUUAUUUUUUCUAUUUAUAAAAAGCUAUAUAUUUUGGUUUUUACUAUUUAGUAAAAAGUUUAUAAUAAGUCAUGAAAAAGUAAAAAAACAAACAACCUAAAUUAUAAAACUAAAUUGCUUUCAGUAAAAAAGUCAAAAAAACAAAUACCACCCUAGUCAAUCUCUCAAUCAAUGCCUCCUAUUCAUGUAGUCAAAUUCCAACACUCAUUGGGACGCCACUAAAAGACUUUGUUAAGACGCGACGCCACUAAAAGACUUAAUUUGUCAAUGAUGAUGAUAUGUAUUAUCUCAGUAAAUAAUACAUAUGUAGAUAUAGUUAAAUAUAAUGCAUGCGCACAAAUAUACAAUACCAUUGACGAGUCCAAAACUAGCUGGCUGCUAUACACCACCAUAUUGCUCCAUUGCAAUGAUUGAGGCACUGCAAAAGCAAAUGGCCAACAAAGGAAAAUGGGAAGUCAAAAUAGAAUGCCAUUUGUCAUUGUGAGGCUCCAGAUAUGAAGGAAGGUGAAGAAGCACUAACAUUUGGGUAGGUGAGCUGGUGGGGGGCGUUUCACGUUUGUGGCCAAGCAUUUUUAGGUUUUCUGAGAGUGGUGUGGGUUGAAAAGGGUGGGGGUGGCACCAAGAUUUGGGGACAAACCAUGGCUCUAGGGUCAUCUUUUAGUAAGAGGUUGCGGACUAGGGAGGGAUAUAUGUGUGGUUUAAUGAUCAAACAAGUGGCAGCAAUGGUAGGGCGUGGCGGCUUUUGGUGGAGGAGCAAUUGAGCGUCAGAGCAAGCCUGGCCACCACUCAGUCUUCCAAUUGCCACUAGAAUUUGGACAACUCAUAAUAUGUAUGAAUUAGUGGCAUGUUCGGUGAUUCACUUCUUUCAAUGCCAAACCAAAGUCCAAGUGUAUAACUCCUUCUAUGAAGUAAAGUUAAAGAGUGUCUAUGAAGAGUUUCUAUAUUUACAUCCACCACAUUUAAGAAUUUAAAAAAAAAAUCACAUUUAAUAUAAUAAUCACAUAUAUUUAUUAUAAAAAAAUAAAAUAUAAAAUUGAUGGAAAUGUAUUUAUAGAUUAUGUUUAUUAGAAUAUAAUUAAAACUGAGUAUAUAGCAAACUCCUGGUUGGUUCUUACCUUUAUAUGAAUUACAUUAAAGAUAAAAAAAAUGUCUUAUUUUAAAAAUAAAAAGAAAAUUGAAGGUGGGUGUGUAAAAAAAAUACUAAAUACAUACAUGUGAUGUGGAAAAAGGAGAAAGCUACGUAGGUACGUACGUACUCCACUCUCAUGUGAAUGCAUGGACGCAUGAGUCCCAUUUUCAGUCUCUAAGACCUCCCAAGUCAAAAGUAGUAGUAGACUACAUUAUAAUUCCCACAAUUGCAUCAUAUGCUGACCUACAUCCACCCACAGGUCACUCACUACAACCACACCUAGCCACUAGUAAUUCACUUAAAUUCCAGGAUAUUCCUAAUAACGACAUUUGUGCUAAUUAAUUUACUAUUUGGAUCAAUUAAUACUAGUACACAGACUCAUGGAGGGAUGGUGGUAAGCCAUUCAAGUAUGAAGUGUUGCCCCCCCGAAACCCAAUCCAAGGGUAUGAUGGUCAUUUCACAUCUCAAGCCCAAAGGUUCAAAGUGAAAACGAUACAAACAUUCAUAUUGUUAGUGAAAAUUACCAAUUAUCAAUUUUCUGUUCAGAAUAGUAAAAUAAAUAAAUUAUAUGAUCCUCAAUUUUCAACUUUAAAAACUAACACAUCAAUCAGAGUGUUAUUGUUCAAAUAACUCCAAAUUCAAAUAAUUUAAACGAGAAUUAAAUUUUAACAUCUAAAUAAUAUCCAAAAUAAAGUUUGAACCAAAAUCCUAACAAAAAAAAAUUUCCGAGUCUAGCCAUCACUCAUCGCUUGAACUGAGAGUACCUAAAAAAUUAUCAAUAAAGGAGUAUGAGUUUAAAGUUCAAUAAGGAACAUCAAUACAGUUUCAUGGAUCAAAUAUUUUUAAUUAUAAUUACAAACAUGAGAUAUAACAUAUAUUCAUUUUCAUAAAAACUUUUGAGUUAAACAUACUAAUAUAUUCAAAACUUUUCAAUAAAACUUUCUUAUAUUCAAUUCAAAACAAUUUCUCAUUAAAAUCAAAUCAAAUACAUUCAAAAUAUUUUUAUUCUAGUUAUCGUAUAACAAAUGGUCUCCAAUUAAGUGGGACUUCACAAAUGAGUGGUUAGUUUCAAAUUUGUUCUUGUUAAGGUGAAUAAAACCAAAUGUCAACAAUUAUAAUUUGUUGACUAAGGCCAUAAGGUCAAGUAUUAUCACCCAUUGACUAGGAUCAUAUAAUCUAGAAUCAAAUACUUUAUUUCAUUAAUUCAAAUUUAUAAAACAAAAUAUCAUAUCUCAAUUUUUCACUUUUCAUAAAUAAAUAAAGAAAAUUCUCAGAAAAAUACUUUCCAUACAAAACACAAUUUGAUCCAUACGAAAAGAUAAAAAUAACAUUUUUACACAUUUCAAAAUAUAAUAUAAAAAGAAAAUUAUUUUAUUUUAUAAAAAUCUGCAUUAAUUUCUCUUACCUUGAAGAAGCACUCAAAAGUAUUUAGCUUGACAAAUUUACUUUUCACCUAACAUAAUAUCAUACACAAUAUUUGAUUAUUGAUUAUUUAUCCAAAUAUAUAAAUUUGACAAUCUUAAAAAUAUUUUAUUUAAUAUUAGGGAUCCUAAUUAAUCUCUCAUAUUAAUAUUAUUAAUAUCCAAUAUCAUUUUCAACUUCCUAAACAAUAAUUUAUUUCUCUUUUUUAACUUAUCUAAAUUAAAUCUUUUAUAAAUAUUUAUUUGUAUUAAACUAUUAUUACUAUUAUUUAAAUCUCCUAAACUUAACAAAUACUCCAUGCAAUUUUUUUUUUUUUUUUUUUUUUUUCAACAUGUCAAAUCCUUCAUGCCCAUCUUUCAUCAUUUUUUUUUCCUCUCUAAAGUCGAAACUUUUAACCCUCGUACUCACAAAUUUGAUGAAUUUUCAUAUCCGAAACUAUAUAAUUUUUUUUUUAUCUAGAUGUAUUCAUUUAAGUAAUCAAAAUUUAUCGAUCUUCAUUAAUAAAUCAAAUUAUAUUCAUAAAUUUGUAAUAUUUUUUACCUAGAAAUUAAUUAAACAAACUCUAAUCAAAAUUGAGAUAUUUUAAAGAAUAUCUAAAGUGUUCAAAACUAAUUAACGAAUAUAAAAUAUUAAUUUAAAGAUUAAAAAUAUUACCUAAAAAAUUGAUCUUCAAAACCUAAACUUUCAAAUCUUAGUUUUAUGAUCUCUAAUUUUUCCGAUCUUUGUGUAAAAGGGUUUUCUGAAUAGAGAAAAUAGGAAAGAUUUAAUUUAUAUAUAGGGAUUUUCAAUACAGAAAGAUAUUUUUAUCUUUAUUAAAUUACUUUAAUUAAUUACUAAUUUUUAAAUUACGAUUUUACCCUAAAUUGGGUUUUGGGCAUUACAUGAACACAUGCAGAAUUGGGAUGCGUUUGUUAAAAGACAUCAAGUCAAAAGUGGGACACAAACUUUAUAGUUUAGAUUAAGAAUUGCAUGAAAGGCUGAUGAUUCACAAGUCACCACCGUCACCACCAACACCACUAACUCAACCUAUACUGCUCCUUCCUUCUCUAUGUGCAGAAGAAGCUACCAGAAUGUCGAUAAAGAAAGCGAUAUAUGGAGCUCCAAAAUGCCUAUAAAUAGGGACACUUCCUACAUCUUCCCUCACAACUCAGAAACGCACUACUCACAACCCGUAAGUAGUUACUAGUGUGAUUAAUUCUGAGACAAAUACAGAGUGAUUCUGAACUUCUUCUCACAAUGAGGAGUUCUCAAGUGAUGGGUUUUGCAUUCUUGGUUUUGCUCCUUCUGGACCUCUCCUUUGCUGCCAGGAUGGUGAAGGAAUAUGGCGCCAAAGGAGGUGGCGGAGGAGGUGGUGGUGGAGAGGGUGGCGGCGGCGGUGGUGGUUCCGCUAUCGGAGCUGGUUCAGGCUACGGUUCUGGAUAUGGUUCGGGUAGUGGUUCAGGGUAUGGUGGUUCUGACGGGUAUGAAAGUGGUGGAGGUGGAGGUGGGAGUGGCGGAGGAGGUGGCGGUGGUGGGGGAGCUGGAGCAUCCGGGUCUGGAUCAGGCUACGGUUCAGGAUUUGGAUCCGGGUCAGGAUACGGGUCAGGAAGUGGAGGCGGGAAAGGAGGCGGUGGAGGAGGGGGCAGAGGCGGAGGAGGAGGCGGAGGCUCUGGGUCCGGCGUCGGGAGUGGCUCCGGAUACGGAUCAGGGAGCGGAAGUGGGUACGGAAGCGGGAGUGGUGGUGGCAAAGGAGGUGGGGGAGGAGGAGGAGGCGGUGGAGGAGGAGGAGGCGGAGGCGGCGGGACUGGAGUUGGUUCAGGAUCCGGAUCCGGAUAUGGGAGCGGAAGUGGAUCGGGACAUGGAUCAGGAUACGGCGGCGGAGAGGAGGGUUUACCCUGAAGUUGAAGAAAUAACCUAGUUAAUAAAGUAGGCUAGGAUCAACGAGUGCAAUUAAAUAUGAAUAAAAAUAGCAACGCCCCAUCCACUUGGUGGACGUUGCAUGUGUGCGCAUGUACUUCUCUUCCUCUCAUUUGAUGUUUCUACUCUUAUCAAAUAAAGCCCCUCUCUUUCUAUAUUCUCCCGUGACCCGGUUAACAAAAUUACUAUGAUAGCUUAUUAUUUUUCACUUAAAAUUUAAACGAAAUAUUUUGACAUCAAUUAAUUUUAUAUUAGGUAGAAUUCGAAAUCUCAAUGAGGGAGGACGAAAGAAUAAAAAAGCUCAAAUCUAA
rnacentral:lncRNA from 1 species